GUGGGGAAUUUUGGACAAUGGGCGAAAGCCUGAUCCAGCAAUGCCGCGUGCAGGAUGAAGGCCCUCGGGUUGUAAACUGCUUUUGUACGGAACGAAAAGCCUGGGGCUAAUAUCCCCGGGUCAUGACGGUACCGUAAGAAUAAGCACCGGCUAACUACGUGCCAGCAGCCGCGGUAAUACGUAGGGUGCAAGCGUUAAUCGGAAUUACUGGGCGUAAAGCGUGCGCAGGCGGUUUUGUAAGACAGUGGUGAAAUCCACGGGCUCAACCUGGGAACUGCCAUUGUGACUGCAAGGCUAGAGUGCGGCAGAGGGGGAUGGAAUUCCGCGUGUAGCAGUGAAAUGCGUAGAUAUGCGGAGGAACACCGAUGGCGAAGGCAAUCCCCUGGGCCUGCACUGACGCUCAUGCACGAAAGCGUGGGGAGCAAACAGGAUUAGAUACCCCGGUAGUCC
rnacentral:rRNA from 1 species